rnacentral:ncRNA from 1 species
GUAAAGACGAAGAACGGGAAGAGUAGACCCUAGCGAGCUGGUAGAGAAGAGAGGUCACCGGCUGAAAGCCUUUCGCAGCAAACAGGUCGAAGGUCGCCCGGGAGUCGAUCGACUGAAAUCAUAGUAAGUCGAUACGGUUGCGCCCGUUAGCGCGUGCAGAGUGCGGGGGAGCAUGGCAUAAAUGCGUGCUCUUGCCGAAACGGAGUGGUACCGCGGGAGGUUGCCCCUUUCGUCUCCAGU